rnacentral:sRNA from 1 species
GUUCUGUACUUGAUUCAUUUGGAAGUAAAGUUAUAGUAUGAGGAUGCAAAAUCCACUAAGAUGUAUUAUGUUGAACCAACAGAUAGAUAACUGGAGAAUAACAGAUAUCUUUGCGUUUCUUUAGUUCUAAACUAUGUGAUUUUUUUUUUAAAUUAGUAUCACAGGUUGUCACCAUCUACAUCUAAGUAAAGCCAGGUGUAACUCAGUGAACUCAAGUUGUGGUGUCUUUGCAGCUGAUCAGAAACCCUGCUUUAUGAAUUCUAUAAAUAGUUCUAUGACAGAGGAUGAAAUUUAUUCUCCAUCAAGUCGCUGUUUUCUUUCUUCUUUGACCUCAUUGCUGGAUGGGACUAACCAGGUCCAAGAAAAAACAGGAAGAUGUUAUGAGACAUCUUGUGAAGAGAAAAUGUAUUAUGUUCGUACCAAUGGUAGUGAUUGGCUGCCAUGUCCGCCUGGAACUUAUAUAAAGGUAAAUGGAUGACUGUUGCUUGUAUGCUUUAGGAAAGUUCAGAUAUUAUGUAACACCAUAAAUAACCCCUUUUCACCCCCCUAUUUUUUUGUUACAUAACGAAUCUUCAGAUUUUGUACCCACCCCUUAUUCGUAACGUAAUAUCUGAACAUUCCCUUGUCCUUUUUGUCUUUGAUUAAUUUUUAAAAAUGAUAAUUUAAUUCAAAAUUUUUUUCCCUACUUUUUGUAUAUUUGCUUCAACUUCAUAUUUUCCAGCAGUGGAGAUAAUACUGAAGGACUAAGAAUGAACUGAAAUUUAAUAAUGACCUGAACAAAAACUUUGAAUGAAAAUUUGAAACUUAGAAACACUCCAGGACUGAACACUAAAAAGUAAAGUAGCAAUGCUACAUAGAACACUAAACCAUAAUUUACAAAUACUAAAACACAUCCUAAUAAAUACUGACAACACAGAGAUAGGCACAUUUAUUUCAUACACUAAGACAAACCUUAAGAUCUCUUUGUUUCUUACUGCC